ensembl:lncRNA
AGGGCACAAUCACACACACACUCACACCAUACACUACAGACACUUUGGACAUGCCAAUCAUCCUACCAUGCAUGUCUUUGGACUGGCGGAGGAAACCGGAGUACCCGGAGGAAACCCCCGCAGCACAGGGAGAACAUGCAAACUCCGCAUACACGGUGGGAAUCAAACCCGGAGGUGUGAGGCGAACGUGCUAACCACUAAGCCACCGUGCACCCUCUUCCUUAUCAGUGUUAAGCAAUAUAUUUCUGCAGACAUUAUAUACAAAUACCACUCAGAUUUGCAUAUUAUUUUAACCUUACUCUUUUGCUGCGAGCUUGUUAACAAACCUGGAUAUCAUGAUAUAUAUUAUGUACUGUAAAGUAUUGCGAUAUGGUAUUUUUGUCACCACGUAAGAGUACGUGUGCUCGCGUCGUGAAAUAUCCAACUAAGAAGAGUCUGAAGUAAAAUAUAUCAAAUAUAGCACAAUUACUCACCGCAAAAUUAUUCUUGAGCGAUAUUAACCAGUGAGAAAUUGUAUUGGUUCACUGGGUGCUCAUAUCAUCAAAACAUUACAUCAGGAAUCUUUUUUAAACACAGGAUGUCAUGCUAUUGUGUUAUUAUUAACAACACACACACGCACACAGAGACAGAGAGAGAGAGAGAAAAUAUACGGGAAACUUCAAAACAAUGCACCUCUAUGGAAGAAAAAGAUUUGUUUCGCUCUUCAUUUGAAACGACAGAGAGACAUGCAAAGACACUAUGAGCUCGAAACGGUUUCAUCAUCACUGGACAUUAAAUUUUAAUUUAUAGGAAUUUAUGAAACAGCCCAAGGCUGGCUGAAACGUCAUCUGCUGGAUGUUGCUUGUGUUAAUAAAGAACAUCCUACUCAGUAAAGUGAACAUUGUAGGCAUGUAAAGUCUGCUCCCUGUUCAUCUGCUCUCACACUGCAUCCUUCAUCCAUUACUCAAAGUUUUUUCGACAUGAAAAGCUCAUGACAAUUUCAUUCCUCAGAUUUGCAUUCUUGAGAGGUAAAGACACGAGACCUCCAAACUCCUCAUUUACUCACCUCCUCUGCUCAUGACACAUCCAUCAUAAGGGCUGAAGAUGAGCUGUUCUCGUUCUGUCGGUCAAACGACCAGAAAUGAUGCUUUAAAUCAGACGAGCAGUGCCACGUUUCUUGGGCAGCAUCCCAGAUACCACAAGUACCUCUCCAGCCCACUGCCGUUUUUCUUCUCUCUUAUUGUUUUUUUUUCUACAGAACUCACAAAUAACUGCUCACUUUUUUUUUUCGAGCACAUCCACCCUCAACUUUCCCUCUCUGUGCCGAUGGAAGCUGCAGCCUUUUCGAAUGGAGUGCUUGAAAACGAUGCAGUAAAGAUAAAAUAAAGUUUACACAGACUUGUUUACUGGAACAGGUUUUAAGCUGAAGCGGAGAGAGUUUUUGUUAGCAUGAGUAGAAUAGACAAGCUCACAUCUCGGUGUGUGGUACAGGUCGAACGCCCAUCAGCUCCCAGGAACUGGCUGUGGGUUUAAGACUUACAUUCCUCACUCUCACUACUGCAUACAUUUCCUGUGAGUUUCACUCUAUUACUGAAUAGAUUGUAGUAGUUACUGAAUAGCUUUAAUGUGAAGUACUGAAUUUUAAGAUGGGUGUUCAAGCAGCUAAAAUCCUGGGUAAAAAGGUACAAGUCAUUGGCUUUUGCCCAUCAUGGAGCUUCUGUGCAACAAGAGCUUUUGCCCAAACAGGGUCUACUAUCCAAUGUGAAUCCUAACUUUCUGCACAAUACGAGACAUUAUAACAAAGCGACACUGAGCUUUGGCCAGUCAGGGGCUUCUGUGCUACAUGGAGCUUCGGCCAAUGAGGGGCUUCUGUGCUACAUGGAGCUUCGGCCAAUCAGGGGAUGCUGUCCAACAUGGGACUUUGCCUACCCAGGGUUUUCGCAAACCAGGAGCUCCUUUCAAAUUUGCCCAACCAGAGGCUUCUGCCCAACAUGGAACUUUGUCUAAAUAGGGGCUUUGGCCAAGCAUGGGCUUCUGUCGAAUACUGGACUUUUCCUACUGAAGGGCUUUGUGCAAUCAGGGGCUUCUGUACUACAUGUAGCUUUGGCCAGUCAGGGGUUCUGCUCAACAAUGGACUUUGCCUACCCAGGGUGUUUGCAAACCAGGGGCUUCUGCCCAACAUGGGACUUUACCAGACCAAUGGCUAAUGUUCAACACUGUACUUUACCAACCCAGGGGGUUCGGCCCAACAUGAGACUUUAACCAGUUAUGGGCUUCUGCCCAGCAUGAGGCUUUGACCAUCCAGGGGCUUGUGCCCAGCAUGAGGCUUUGACCAUCAAGGGGCUUCUGCCCAGCAUGAGGCUUUGACCAUCAAGGGGCUUCUGCCCAGCAUGAGGCUUUGACCAUCAAGGGGCUUCUGCCCAGCAUGAGGCUUUGACCAUCCAGGGGCUUCUGCCCAGCAUGAGGCUUUGACCAUCAAGGGGCUUCUGCCCAACGUGAGGCUUUGACCAUCAAGGGGCUUCUGCCCAACGUGAGGCUUUGACCAUCAAGGGGCUUCUGCCCAGCAUGAGGCUUUACCCAGCCAGGGGCUUCUGCCCAGCCAGGGGCUUCUGCCCAGCAUGAGGCUUUGCUCAUCCAGGGGUUGAUCAGCUCGUCUGCAACUGGACUCCAGGCUCCAGCUGUUGCGUACAAACGCCGGACUCCUGCGCGCUCGCGCUCAACACAAUUACAUGCCGAAACGCGUUAAAAAGCCGCUUUAUUUUUCCAAUCUUCGACCUACACCGAGUGCUGAAGUGUGGAAAUGUUUCCGCUCCUUUGUUCCAUAGUGAGUGUUUGAGACUACAAACUCCCAGUGAGACGGUAAACAAAAGCUGCAGCAGUCUUCACAAUCCCACUGUUUACCGUUAAUCCAUGGCGGAGUGUCAGAGGAAUAAUAACCUCCACCUCCUCCACCACACACACCAGCUUCUCUGAGAGCCCCGGGGGACCUUCACAAAAACAGACUGCACUUUACGGUUUAGAAGACGAGAGGGUUAUUUAAAUACGAUGAAGCGGCACUUUUUUGCCUCGAGCAUCAACACAUACAUUACAGCAACACUUCCGAGUGAGAAACAGAGAACAUUCAGUGGACUAGUAUGAAAAAGUGUGACAGACUUACUGUGCAUUCACUUCCUUCAUGUUACUUUUCCUGAAUCCAGCACAGAACCACGGAGCCACUUUGUUUCAGAUCCACUGUGGGGUUGUUAUCCUCCUGCUCACUUCAAAAGGCUCUCGGACCAAAACGCUCAUUAUCCUGAAAGCCUGCUUCAUGUGAGGCUCCUGGGGGAAAACAUCAUAAAAGGGCACUUUUACAUCAUCAGGACAUCAGUAGAUGAUGCAGAUCUUCUUCACUGAUAUAUCCAGGUGUUCUUUUCGUUUUUGUAAAGUCAUUAAAUACAGUUACGGUGAUGUACCAACUCCUGAGGAUAUGUGAGGAAAGAUGAAGCGGGAUUUUUGCCAUUUGGGGGCACAAGUACUAGUGGGAGGAGUCAGUUUCAUCUAGCCAAUCAGACGCGAUCCAAGUUUAAGCCC